rnacentral:lncRNA from 1 species
GGCCGGCCCUCACCAAAACUUCUGAUGAGCCCUUAGCCCCAGGAAAUAUCUGAAUUGCAGACUGGUGUGAUCCUAAGCAGAAAACCCAGGUCUGCCAAGAGGAAUUGUACUUCAAGGAACAGUGUUUAAUGAAUUGAGUUGUGAGUGCCUCUGGCUGUGCUAGGCGGGACGCCACCUCAGUGUGGCUUGAUGAGUGGUGCCAUGUCCACCUCCAGGAUCUGAACUGGUGAAACCCUGGGCCACCAAAGUGGAGCGCAAGAACUCAACCACUCGGCCAUGGGGCCGGCCACUUCAAGACCUAUUUUUCAAUGUGUGUAUAAGUGGGCCUUCAUAUGCUUUGUUUCCCAGACGUUUUUUUUCUCCUGCCUUCACAAGUAAAGAG